GGCGCACCACCAGGAGUGGAGCCUGCGGCUUAAUUUGACUCAACACGGGGAAACUCACCCGGCCCGGACACUGUGAGGAUUGACAGGUUGAAGCCCUUUCUUGAUUCAGUGGGUGGUGGUGCAUGGCCGUUCUUAGUUGGUGGAGUGAUUUGUCUGGUUAAUUCCGAUAACGAACGAGACUCUAGCCUACUAAUUAGACCGAGGCAUCCUCGCGCUGCCUCGGCGCUUCCUAGAGGGACAGACGGCGUUUCAGCCGUAUGAGAAAGAGCAAUAACAGGUCUGUGAUGCCCUUAGAUGUCCGGGGCCGCACGCGCGCUACACUGAAGAGACCAGCGUGUCUGCGCGUCCUACUCCGAAAGGAGCGGGAAACCGAGUGAACCCUUUUCGUGCUUGGGAUUGGGGAUUGUAAUUGUUCUCCAUGAACGAGGAAUUCCCAGUAAGUGCAAGUCAUCAGCUUGCAUUGAUUACGUCCCUGCCCUUUGUACACACCGCCCGUCG
rnacentral:rRNA from 1 species